CCGAGUGAGGGCCUCUGGCCCGACCUCCAACCCUUUGUUAUUAAAACCAUUGUUGCCUCGGGGGCGCUCUACAGCCUAUUGGCGUCGGGGCCCCCGGCGGACCAUUUCAAAACUCUGCAUCUUUGCGUCGGGUUUAAAAGUUUAAUAAUUA
rnacentral:misc_RNA from 1 species